UUUUCACGCACACAGCCUUUUUCACGCACUGUUCAUCUUCUCUCUCGGGAGGGGGGCGCACUUCUCAUGGUCUUCCACCAGACCUCUCUCGCCCUCUGGCUUUUCUCUCUAGCAGAAACCUCACACCAGAGCCCGGAGCAACUCUCCAGAUUUCUUUUCCCCUUUUCCACUCUCAGACUCUCCCAGCAUUCUCGCUCACUCCAUUUUUAUCCAUCUGCCUCUCAACCUCCAUACCAUCCCAGAUCGGCCCCCCAUCCUCUUCCUCCAUCUCUCAGAUCCAGCCACCACCAGUUCACCCAACAACUCCCCUACGCCAUCUCCACUUUCCAGCCGCAGUCACCACUGCAACCAGAUCCAGCCAGCAGAUCCUUCACAGCCAACCAGCAGCACCACCAAACGGCCAUUACAACAUUCUCGGCGAUCCAGCUAGACGAGCAGAUCAAGCUCGCAAGUAAAGAGGUCAUUUACAUACCCUAUCCGUAGGGUAAGUGUUAUUAGGAGGAAAUGUAUUUUUGAAUAGUGUUUAGGAAUUUUGGGUAGAAGAUAAUGGGAUGUUGUGUAAUUAUGUAUGUAUAUCUUGGGAUAAUUCUAGAUUCUGGUAUCGUAUAUAUGGAUGUAUGACUUUAUGUUUUCCACUGCAUAGGUUUGUUAUUCUACGAACAAGAAUUUCCUUAGUGCCCACCUGGGAACUAAGAUGUUAUAGCAGAUAUUAUUAGGGGUACCUGAGUAUUUUAUUUUGUAGUACAUUUAUGAAAAAGAAAUGGUAUGCAAUUUCAGGUUGUUA